GGCCGGGCAAGACCGGUGCCAGGCGCCGUGGUAACACCGGCGGCCCGAGUGGUGAUCGUGAUUAUUGGGUCUAAAGGGUCCGUAGCCGGUUUGGUCAUUCCUCGGGGAUAUCUGACGGCUUAGCCGUUAUGCUUUCGGAGGAUACUGCCCUGCUUGCCACCGGGAGAGGUAAGAGGUACUACAGGGGUAGGAGUGAAAUCCUGUAAUC
rnacentral:rRNA from 1 species